AUGCCUUUAAAGAUACAAUUCUUUAUGUGGUUUAUUCACAAGAAAGUGAUCUUUACUAAGGAUAACCUGGUAAAAUGUAGUUCGGAGGAUAGUAAAUGGUGUUGUUUCUGUGAUCAAGACGAAUCGAUCCAACAUCUUUUUCUCAAAUGCCCCGUAGCCAAGCUACUGUGGCGCAUAGUGCAUCUGGCCUUUAAUGUCAAUCCUCCUAAUAUCAUGGCCACUUUAUUUGGGACUUGGCUAAACGGGGUAGAGCCUAAAAUAGUUGCGCAUAUUCGAGUCGGAGCGUGCACAUUUCUUUGGACCAUACGGAACUGUCGGAAUGACGUGAUAUUUAACAGACAAAAUAUCACCAAUUUUUUUGCCGGUCAUCUACAGAGCAACUAG
rnacentral:rRNA from 1 species